rnacentral:snRNA from 1 species
GUGCUCACUUAGGCAGCACAUAUACUAAAAUUGGAACGAUACAGAGAAGAUUAGUAUGGCCUCUGCGCAAGGAUGGCACACAAAUUCGGGAAGUGUUCCAUAUUUCU